rnacentral:rRNA from 1 species
GACGAACGCUGGCGGCGUGCUUAACACAUGCAAGUCGAACGAUGACGACCGAGCUUGCUCGGUCUGAUUAGUGGCGAACGGGUGAGUAACACGUGAGCAACCUGCCCUUCACUCUGGGAUAACCUCGGGAAAUCGGGGCUAAUACCGGAUAUGAGCUCCUGUCGCAUGGCGGGUGUUGGAAAGUUUUUCGGUGAAGGAUGGGCUCGCGGCCUAUCAGUUUGUUGGUGAGGUAGUGGCUCACCAAGGCGAUGACGGGUAGCCGGCCUGAGAGGGCGACCGGCCACACUGGGACUGAGACACGGCCCAGACUCCUACGGGAGGCAGCAGUGGGGAAUAUUACACAAUGGGCGAAAGCCUGAUGCAGCGACGCCGCGUGGGGGAUGACGGCCUUCGGGUUGUAAACCUCUUUCAGCAGGGAAGAAGCGAAAGUGACGGUACCUGCAGAAGAAGCGCCGGCUAACUACGUG